AGGCUGCUCCAAGCCCCAAUGUCCAACCUGGCCUUGGGCACUGCCAGGGAUCCAGGGGCAGCCACAGCUGCUCUGGGCACCCUGUGCCAGGGCCUGCCUACCCUCCCAGGGAACAAUUCCCUCCCAAAAUCCAAACUAAAUUUACCCUUCUUCAGCUCCAAACCAUCCCCCUUUUUCAUGACUGUGCCUCUGCAUCUCCCCUCUCCCACCAGUGACAUUUGCACAAUGCAGUUUCCAUUUCCCAGUUUGACACUUUAUUUAUCAAAGCAAGAAGCCAGUAGAUAAAGACUUUCCAGAAACAGCCUGGGAUUCUUGGAUUCUUCUGAGCUUCCCUGCCUCAAGAACAACAUGUGCCUUGUCUUCCCUUCGCUUUGCUUAUCAGAUUCCAGCCAAAAUGAAUGGGCAGAGCUCUUACAAACAGAGAAAUUAAAUGAAAACAACACCAGUGCCAAGUUCUCUGCAAACACAGGAGUGAAAUGAAAAAUGCCACUCGCUGGA